AUUGAACGCUGGCGGCAUGCUUUACACAUGCAAGUCGAACGGCAGCGGGGACUUCGGUCCGCCGGCGAGUGGCGAACGGGUGAGUAAUGCAUCGGAACGUGCCUAUCAGUGGGGGAUAACGCUUCGAAAGGAGUGCUAAUACCGCAUAUUCUCUGAGGAGGAAAGCAGGGGACCUUCGGGCCUUGCGCUGAUAGAGCGGCCGAUGUCGGAUUAGCUAGUUGGUGAGGUAAAGGCUCACCAAGGCGACGAUCCGUAGCGGGUCUGAGAGGAUGAUCCGCCACACUGGGACUGAGACACGGCCCAGACUCCUACGGGAGGCAGCAGUGGGGAAUUUUGGACAAUGGGCGCAAGCCUGAUCCAGCCAUGCCGCGUGAGUGAAGAAGGCCUUCGGGUUGUAAGGCUCCUUCGGCCGGGAAGAAAUCGCAUCAGCUAAUACCUGGUGUGGAUGACGGUACCGGAAUAAGAAGCACCGGCUAACUACGUGCCAGCCGCCGCGGUAAGAC
rnacentral:rRNA from 1 species